GGACCGCACCUGCCUUACCUUUACUCUUCCUGCAUGAUGUGAUGCACCUGUGAGCUGCAGGGGCCAUGAAAGUGGCAACAGAUGUGACAAAACCUUCCGGGGGAGAGAAAUAGUUUUGCUGCCAGCAGUUGGCAUCUCACUGAAGCUACAGAAUUAUUCAAAAGAUAUGCGCCUGACAGGACUCCUGGAACUAGAAAGCUGAACUGAAGGGCAAGCUUCUUCCAUUCUAAUGGCAGUCAACAAGCCCGGAUCAUACAUGGACCAGAAUUCAGAUGGAUCAUUGUAGCACUGGAGUGUUGAUCAUCUGGGAAAUCUCAUCUCUCCAUUGUGAUUGAGAACAACAGAGCCAUUAUAAUGUGCAAGAAGCGCAGAGAAACAAAAAGCCAAAUCACCAAAAGGUCUAAAGCCACCGAGACGUGAAAUGAAAGAUGGAGCUAAUCAGAUGCUUAGAUGGCACGAGAUGUGAAACAUGGGAUGAGGCCGAAAGGAUUCAGCUCUUUUGGAUGAGGCAAACAGAGCUGGCCAUGACCUUCUGGUUGGAGAAUGAAUGUGCAGAGUCGGAGCUGUCUCUGAGGUCAGAGAUUAUAGAAAAGGUUAGCUGAUAAAAACAUGGAGAGAAGUAAAUUGCUUUAGUGCCUUGUGAACAAGGAAGUACAAUUGUUCCGCUAUUCUUCUGUGAUCUAAAGAAAUAAAUCCUUCAAUUCUUCCUGAAAACAAAA